GUGGCAGUCUUUGUGGUUGUAGCACUGAGCGGUGUGCUACAAUUGACCAAAGUCCACACAGAGUGAGGCUGGUUCCUGCCGACAGGGCCUGUAAAGGCAUUGGUUUCCCUGUGCGAUGGUUCCAUACAUU